rnacentral:rRNA from 1 species
AGUGGCGCAAGGGUGAGUAAGGCGAAGGUAACCAACCCCGCGGGCGGGCAUAGCCGAGGGAAACUUCGGGUAAUUCCCGGCGACGUGGCGGCCCGGCAUCGGGCUGCCACCAAAGAUUUAUCGCCGCGGGACGGGCCUUCGUGGUAUUAGCUUGUUGGCGGGGUGACGGCCCACCAAGGCUGCGAUGCCUACCGGGCGUGCGAGCGUGGCCCGGCACACUGGGACUGAGACACUGCCCAGACUCCUACGGGAGGCUGCAGUCGAGAAUCUUCGGCAAUGGGCGCAAGCCUGACCGAGCGACGCCGCGUGGAGGACGAAGGCCUUCGGGUUGUAAACUCCUGUCGAGGGGGAGGAAGGCGCAAGCUUGACCGAUCCCUGGAGGAAGCACGGGCUAAGUUCGUGCCAGCAGCCGCGGUAAGACGAACCGUGCGAACGUUAUUCGGAAUCACUGGGCUUAAAGCGCGUGUAGGCGGGCCGCCGCGUCGGCUGCUGAAAUCCCCCGGCUCAACCGGGGAACGGGCACCGAUACGGGCGGCCUCGAGGGGGGUAGGGGGGUCUGGAACUUCCGGUGGAGCGGUGAAAUGCGUUGAGAU